UUAACAUGGACUAUUGGUUUCCUUUUGGUUUCUGCCGAUUAAACUUGAAAAACUGUUGUGUUCUAUAAAGUAACCAUAAAACCGAUUGUGUAUGGGAGAAAGCUUGAAGCUUUUCAAUAUUAUUGUGGGACUUUUGAUAAAGAUGGAUAAACUUUGGGUUAGAGUGGAUGGUAUAUUUUGAGGCACCAGGAUGUGUUUUAUAGGUUGUAGUUGUCUAAUUUGCACUAAAGAAUGAGCAAGCUAUGGUAUGGGUUCUUGGAUCGCUCGCUAAAGGAACCGAAUAACUAGCAUUGAAUUGGAUUUGAAUUAUAUGGGAAGCAGAUGUUGGUUAGCUGAUAUUUGCCUGUUGUUUUUGUUAAUUAUUAUGCUUCUUUGAUUGACUGAUUUUUCUGAAAAAGAUAUCUGAUAUCGGCUUUAACAAAAUUACAUAUCGGUACAACUUUUGCCAAAUAAGAUGAAAUAACACUAGGAUGAAAUACAUGUGAAGAGAAAAACAUUCCUGCCUGAGCACCUUGUAACUAGAACCUCAACUUUAAUGUGUGUGGGGUGGAGGGGAGGGGGACUUAAAAUAGCCAGUGCUGAUGGUUUUUGAAGAUUAUUCGAUGUCUAGAUUGCUUAAGAGUUUCUAGUAGAAAAUUAGUAUUGAUAUGUAGUGACUUAGAUUUAUUUAGUUAGGUUUUAUUGCUGUGGUUAUGACUAGAAUUGUACCUUAUGAAAGUUAAAGGCUAUGUACUUUGUAUAAAGUGAAAUUAUUCUUAUUAUGUUAUGGUAUGUAUUGCACAAGAUAUAUUGAUAGUAGGUGUGAAUUUUAUUGGUGUUGAACCGAUGAAACUGAUGCUAUAAUCAAGUUUCUCUUCAUAGUCUAAUUCCUGAUUUUUUUUAUGAAAACACAUCAUAAAGGUGAAAUUGUCAUUUAUUCCACCAAUGAUUUAUUCACCGUAAGAUUGAAGUCAGAUGCAUUCUCACAAGCUUCAUCAGCUCAAAUGAUCAACUAUUAGUUUUUCUUACCAAGUCCCUUAGGCUUGGAGGACCUUAAAUUCGCUUGGUGCCUUUGACUUAUAUGCUUUAGGUUGAGGUGCAGUGUUGAAAAUCAUGCUGAAGAUUAUUCUUUGUUGUCUGGAUUGGAUUGCUUUAAAUUGGCACAUGCUUAAUUUGAUCUGUAUUGAUUGAGUUAUUAGGUUUAAAUUGAUUGCUGUGAUUAUACCUUGAUAAUGAUAUGUAAUUAAGCCUACAACAAAGCUAUUGUCUGUGUAAUUAGCAUAAAUCUCAAUAAGCUUGAGGGAAAAAUCAAGUACCUUAGUUGAAUUCUCUCUAGUUCUUUAAUUCUCUCAAAAUCUCUAAUGAUAAUGGGUAAGUAGAACUUAUGAGGUCGCCACACAAAAGACUCAAUCUUGAAUUUUCGUUUCUGUGGAACUGUGGAAGAUGCAGGAAUUUACUCACCAAGAGUUAAAGAGAUAUGGAGACCCAAAGUGAUGUGGGAGAAAAAUGAUAUAAAUGAUUAGGAGGUGCAAUAGAUGUUUACUUUGUUUGCUUAGAGCAAGCGAUUCUUGUGUUUUAGAUGGGAUCCUUUUUUGUAUUUUAGAGCAAGCAUUUCUUUAAAAAAUAAAAAGAGAAGAAGAAGAAAAGAUGGGACCCUUUUUUCAUUUAUUUAUUUUUCCUUACUGAAUGAAAGGUGUAAAUUUUUUCCUGUUGGUAAGGGAUUUUAGCACUCCAUAGUUUUUUAUACUAUCAGUCUACAUAUAAAUGCUUCUCCCUGUCUCUGAUAUUGUCUUCCUCUUUGUAAAUAAGACAACCUUUUGUCUCCCUAGCGCAUGGGCCGGGGCAAUGCAACUAUUAAUGUUUUAUCAAGAAGAUUGCAAAGAAAAAAGGAUUUAAAUACUCCUUAUAAAAGAAUUGACUUAAAACUACAUAGUUCCCUUCCUUUAUUUUUUCUCGUAUUUGAUUAGUCUUUUGCUCCAUUUGUAACUUGUACAAAACGAUUAGGGUGGUUUAUAUAUGGAUGAUAUUUGCAUCACACAAGAUUCAGGCUUGUUGAACUAGAGCUGGGGGAAGUGGGAAUCGGAAGCUUAGGAAUGAGGAAUCUAGCAAGGUGGACAUCGACUAGAGACCAGAUCAGCUGGACUGAAAUUUCAAAACGAUAUUGGUCAGGGGCUGUGGUUUUCUAGGCCGAGAAUACAGCGGAAGGCAAGGUGUGACAAUCAUGAGAUGCAGAAUCUCCAGGCUCUUGCUGUAAAGACCAGCAUUUGAUUUGGAUGAGUUGAAGCUCAUUGAAGCUGACUUGGAGGAAAACAUACUGGGGACUAUUUCCAUUGUGGAUUAUGUGUCCAAGUCUUUCAAAUUAUCUUGAAGCGGUGCACACACUUUUCUUCUUUUGACGUGUGUUGUUCUCCUACUGAUACACUAAUUGGUGGUCUAUGAGACUAUUGGAUCCUUCCAUUUUCAGCUACAAUUAUUCUUUUUAUCUCCUGACUGGGGGAAUCCAUGCCUAAUGGAGGAAUUAAUGGGAGCUUUACCAGUUCACUUGUGUGUCCAACUAUGCGUUACCAUCACAAACAGAAGAGCGGCAUCCAUACAAUACCAG